AUCUUUAUUUAUCUUACAUUUUGACAAAGGUUAAGCCUUGACGAAGAGAAACAUAUGGAGGGGGGUGACUCACAGUCUAUCCCUCCCUCUCUUUCUACCUUUCUUUAACAAGUGGGUGUGUCUUCAUGUCUCGACACGGCGUGCUCCAGUUGAUAGACAGCUGCACUCAUCCUUUUACCUGCCAGGUACACCGGGACACCGGGAUCGAAAACACUCUGUCCUCAAGAGCACAUUGAGCUCACUCUGAGCACACGGCGGCUCGUUCAUCUCCAUCCUCCUCGGGCCUCCUCGAUGACCGGAUGACCCCAGCAGGGUUGUUGGGCUGUUCUUUUGUUCUGUGUGUGUGCAGCACUUCUGUUAUCCGCACAGCUAGAAACUUUGCCUGGGAAUUUCAAUGCGCAAAAAUUUCAGUCAUUGUUUCUGGUCGUGUGUGUAAUGUGCAUCCAAGACCAAACAGUGGAUGGAUUUUUUUCUUCUUCUUCAGGGGUUGAGAGGUUGUGGUUUUCACACUCGCCCGCAGAAUUGAACUGUUUUCGAAAUGUGUCUGAAGGUUGCAGACUGAGAGAGACACCGAAACACUGCUGAGCCAAAAACCUGCAUCAUCACUGAAGGAUCUGGCAACAUCUGUUCAACGAGCAAUGGAAAUUACAAGUUACCACCCCAGGAUAUAUGUCUUAUCGCCCUUAAUCAUCCUGAUCUAGAGAACAUUUGAGCAGGUUAUUUUAAAAAGCCCCACAUCGACAAGGAGUGGAACAAUUAGAUGUUUGAUUUCUUAGGUUUCAAUCUCCCACAAGCAGCAGCCACUCUUCUGGUUAUGGAGGUGUAGCUUCCCGUAAUUAUGUUGUGACAUAUCCCACUGAGGGUAUGGCAGUGAUGUUACCACAUGCAGACGAAGCAUCAGUAUGUCAGGUAUGUUGGUGAACCAGCUCCACUCAGGCCAAUGAUGGGUGUAACCUCUGUACUUAUCUGGAGAGUGGCAUGAUCUAUUUAAAGUGCUGACAAUAGAAGACUACCUGCCGCUGACGGGGACUUCUUCGUACAAGGCAACUACAAAAUUAAAUGAGCAUACGAUUGAUUCUGAGAAGGAACGCAAAUUAAUCAAACAUAAAAGUACGUGAAUAUGUAUUGUGUAUAUGAGGAUCUUGCAAACUGUAUCUGCUCCUAAUAAACACAAGAAACAAA